GAGUUUGAUCCUGGCUCAGAUUGAACGCUGGCGGCAUGCCUUACACAUGCAAGUCGAACGGCAGCAUGAUCUAGCUUGCUAGAUUGAUGGCGAGUGGCGAACGGGUGAGUAAUACAUCGGAACGUGCCCUGUAGUGGGGGAUAACUAGUCGAAAGAUUAGCUAAUACCGCAUACGACCUGAGGGUGAAAGUGAGGGACCGCAAGGCCUCAUGCUAUAGGAGCGGCCGAUGUCUGAUUAGCUAGUUGGUGGGGUAAAGGCCCACCAAGGCGACGAUCAGUAGCUGGUCUGAGAGGACGAUCAGCCACACUGGGACUGAGACACGGCCCAGACUCCUACGGGAGGCAGCAGUGGGGAAUUUUGGACAAUGGGCGAAAGCCUGAUCCAGCAAUGCCGCGUGUGUGAAGAAGGCCUCGGUUGUAAG
rnacentral:rRNA from 1 species